rnacentral:lncRNA from 1 species
AAAUGAUAUAUAGUUUUGUUGUAGAUUAAAUGUAGAAAAUAAGCCAUUGUGAGUCUUAUUUGACUCAUUUCUCACAUUCAACUUAUUCUACAAAUUCACACCUCUUUAAAUGCAAUACAACCAUACUCUCUUGAAUUUAAAGGUAUAGCAAUAUAUAUAACUUAAAAAACAUCUUCUCCUCUGCACAAGUUAGCUCCAAAACAGAAGAAGUGGAAUAAGAAGCUCCCAUCAAUACUUUUAACACAAAACACAAAGCUCAAUAAACAACAGUUUAUAAUUUUUCUUGAAUUUAUCUAUAAUUUCUGCAAUAUAAUGAAUGUAAUGUCGUCUUCUUCUUCUUCGGAUUUUAAUCUGAAAUUCAGCCAAAAUCAAGUCUAAUCUUCACCAAAACCCCUCAAAAUUGAGAUAUAAACUCCAAAUCAUAUUUUCAAUUAUUUACAACAACACCAAAUCCAAAUAAAUCAUGAUUUUUGAAAACCCAAAUUUGAAUUCGAAGCUUCAAAACUUUUUAAUGGCUAACAAUGGUGGAAUUGCUGCUCUCUUUUCCUUUUCUCUUAUAUUAAUGAAGAAACCUGAAAUCAUAACCAUCAAGAGUUAUUGUUGUGUAUGAAACUUUGAAGAUUUGACUUCAAUUUUAACUGGUUGUAGAAGAAAAAACCUUGAUUUUGGACGUUAAUGGUAGAGAGUUUCAAUUAUUUUUCGGGAUUUAGCAUAGGGUUUCAAUUGUUUUCUGGUUUCUGGGUGUGUGGUGAUAAGUGGGUGAGGAUGUAGGGCUGAGAGAGAGAAAUGUGGGGGGAGGGGAGGGGGGAUUUGGAGGAAUAUACGGUACCAUAAAUUUAGGAGUAAUAUAAGGUACAAUUAAUGUACAAUUAAAA